rnacentral:rRNA from 3 species
GCGACCACAGGAUGGGCG